UACGUAGGGGGCUAGCGUUGUCCGGAUUUAUUGGGCGUAAAGAGCGUGUAGGCGGCCAGGUAGGUCUGGUGUGAAAACUCGAGGCUUAACCUCGAGAUGUCAUCGGAAACCAUCUGGCUAGAGUCCGGAAGAGGGAGAGUGGGAAUUCCUGGUGUAGCGGUGAAAUGCGCAGAUAUCAGGAAGAACACCAAUGGCGAAAGCAGCUCUCUGGGACGGUACUGACGCGAGACGCGAAAGCGUGGGGAGCGAACAGG
rnacentral:rRNA from 1 species